rnacentral:lncRNA from 1 species
UAAACUAUAACUAGCAAGGAAUGAGAAACUGAUUACAUCUGCUUAUUUGGACAGUGAAUGGAACCACAUAUUCUGCCUGUUGGCAAACACCAAAUCUGUAUAGUUUAUUUUCUUCAAAGGGAAUCAUGAUUGCCAACAAUCACUCAGCACCAACAAUUUACUGAAUGUUUAUCUGCCUGCAUUCUUCUUGUGGCUGGAAAUGUAGCAGUGAACCAGACCGAGACCCUGAUCCGCUGGGUAUAUAGCUGGGGGAGUCAGACAUUCAUGAAAAUGACUUCUAGUGCCACAGAUAUUUCAAAAGAUGCAGUAAAGAGUUCUGUGGGUCUGAAUGAUAUGGUGUGCUAACCAAAUAUGUGAAGGUGGCGAAGGUCUCCUAGAAGAAUUGGUGCAAAACUUGAGUCUCAAAGGAUGAGCUGGGUGAGGAGUUGGGCACAGUAUUCUGGGCAGUGGGAACAUCAUGGACAGAAGCCUGAAUGCAGCGGAGAGACUGACUCACUUGUGGGCAUGAAGGAGAUCAGCAUGACUGGAUUGGAGCUCACUUCCUGGUGUUUUCACCUCAUUGCAUGCCUGGUUGGUUUCUGUUGCUUGCAAUGAAAGAACCCUUACAAAUGCAAUAAUGCAGAAGUAACAAUGAAGAUGACACUGAUUCACACAAGAUUUAAUUUGUUACAUGAGUAAAUAAACAAAGCAAAAUGAACAGAAUUUACUAUACUGCAUCCCUGCUGGGAGUAUGUUGAGCUAUCUGGCCUGGAAGGCCUUUGUGACCUGUUGAAAGAAUAUACAUGGAUUUACUUCAGGAGAAAAAUAAAGUGUUAUUUUAAAAAU